rnacentral:rRNA from 1 species
CAGUCGCCACGGUAAUACGUAGGUGGCAAGCGUUGUCCGGAAUUAUUGGGCGUAAAGGGCUCGCAGGCGGUUUCUUAAGUCUGAUGUGAAAGCCCCCGGCUCAACCGGGGAGGGUCAUUGGAAACUGGGAAACUUGAGUGCAGAAGAGGAGAGUGGAAUUCCAUGUGUAGCGGUGAAAUGCAUAGAGAUGUGGAGGAACACCAGUGGCGAAGGCGACUCUCUGGUCUGUAACUGACGCUGAGGAGCGAAAGCGUGGGGAGCGGACAGGAUUAGAUACCCCAGUAGUCCCUGUCUCUUAUAU